rnacentral:rRNA from 1 species
GAUGAACGCUGGCGGCGUGCCUAAUACAUGCAAGUCGAGCGAACGGACGAGAAGCUUGCUUCUUUGAUGUUAGCGGCGGACGGGUGAGUAACACGUGGAUAACCUACCUAUAAGACUGGGAUAACUUCGGGAAACCGGAGCUAAUACCGGAUAAUAUUUUGAACCGCAUGGUUCAAAAGUGAAAGACGGUCUUGCUGUCACUUAUAGAUGGAUCCGCGCUGCAUUAGUUAGUUGGUAAGGUAACGGCAUACCAAGGCAACGAUGCAUAGCCGACCUGAGAGGGUGAUCGGCCACACUGGAACUGAGACACGGUCCAGACUCCUGCGGGAGGCAGCAGUAGGGUAUCUUCCGCAAUAGGCGAAAGCCUGACGGAGCCACGCCGCGUGAGUGAUGAAGGCCUUCGGAUCGUAAAACUCUGUUAUUAGGGAAGAACAGAUGUGUAAGUAACUGUAGACGUCUUGACGGUACCUAAUAAGAAAGCCACGGCUAACUACGUG